rnacentral:rRNA from 1 species
GAUGAACGCUGGCGGCGUGCCUAAUACAUGCAAGUCGAGCGAACGGACGAGAAGCUUGCUUCUCUGAUGUUAGCGGCGGACGUGUGAGUAACACGUGGAUAACCUACCUAUAAGACUGGUAUAACUUCGGGAAACCGGAUCUAAUACCGGAUAAUAUUUUGAACCGCAUGGUUCAAAAGUGAAAGACGGUCUUGCUGUCACUUAUCGAUGCAUCCGCGCUUCAUUAGCUAGUUGGUAAGGUAACGGCUUACCAAGGCAACGAUGCAUAGCCGACCUGAGAGGGUGAUCGGCCACAAUGGAACGGGAACACGGACCAGAAGCCUAAGGGAGGAAGCAGGAGGGAAUGUUACGCAAUGGGGGAAAGCCUGACGGAGCAACGGCGAGUGAGUGAUGAAGGGAUUCGGAUCGUAAAAAUCUGUUAUUAGGGAAGAACAUAUGUGUAAGUAACUGUGCACAUCUUGACGGUACCUAAUCAGAAAGCCACGGCUAACUACGUG